UUUUAAAACUGAAAAAAAAGGUGAUUCAAGGCAGUGUUCAUUGAAGUAAAAUAUGUACCUAUGUUGGUAGGCAAAUUUCACUAACUAGACGCUGCUACCAGGCACUGUUCUAAGCAUUUUACAUAUAUUAACCCACCUAAAAUCUCGCAAUAGCACUCAGAAUUGGAAUUCUUACCUUGAUUUUUACAGAUGAGGAAUGUGAAGUACAGAAAUGUUAAAGGCUUGCCCAUUAUCACAAAGCUAGCAAGUAGCAGAGCUGGGAUUUGAACCUGCUGGUCUGGCUCCCAGGUCUGUGCUCUCAGCUACCAUUCCUAACACUUGCACAUGUGUCUACUGUAAUGCAUCUUUGAAAUGAAAAGACAACAGGCUAUUACUACACUGGAUAAAUCUAAAGUAAUCCAUUUGGUACAGGUAUGAUGCCCAAAUGUGCUGAUGAGUGGGUCAAACCUUCAGUGACAGCAUCUUCAACAGUAUCAUAUUGGAAAGAAACCCAAGGCACCCAUAUUAAAUUACAGAUUUUUUUUUUUUUUUUUUUUUUUUUUUGUCUUUUUGCCAUUUCUUGGGCCGCUCCUUCGGCAUAUGGAGGUUCCCGGGCUAGGGGUCGAAUCGGAGCUGUAGCUGCCAGCCUACGGCAGAGCCACAGCAACCCAGGAUCCGAGCCGCGUCUGCCACCUACACCACAGCUCACGGCAACGCCGGAACCUUGACCCACUGAGCAAGGGCAGGGAUCGAACCCGCAACCUCAUGGUUCUUAGUCGGAUUCAUUAACCACUGCACCAUGACGGGAACUCCCAGAUUUAUUUUAAAUUUACAGAUUUAUACGGAUAUACUGAAUAUGUCUGUAUAUGGUUUUAUUCUUUUCAGCACUAUACUGCAGGGACAUUUUGACACAAAGUGGCAAAAACUCUGAAGGCUGUGUUUGAUUGAUUCAGUCUGGGAAAUACUGAUGUUAGUCCAAAUCCUCUAUUUCACAAAUGUGGAUUUUUUUUUUUUUUUUUGUCUUUUUGCCUUUUCUUGGACCACUCCUGCAGCAUAUGGAGAUUCUCAGGCUAGGGGUUUAAUCAGAGCUGUAGCCACCAGCCUAUAAAUGUGGAAUUUAAAGUCUGGGUUGUUGGAGUUCCCUUGUGGUGCAGCAGAUUAAGGAUCCAGCAUUGUCAGUGUAGCAGCUUGAGUCUUGCUGUGGCAAGGGUUUGAUUCCUGUCCUGGGAACUUCCACAUGCUAUGGGGGUGACAAGUGAACAAACAAACAAAUAAAUAAAAACUAGGGUUUAAAAAUAAAGUACAGUCUAGGUUGCUAAAGCAACCCACUUAAGGUAAUAUAGUUCACUAAUGUUAAUAAUGGUAAAUGAUUUUUUUGAGCUCUCACUAUGUAACAGGUACCAUUUUAAGAGUUAUGAGGUCUAUGGAUUUAAAUUUAAUUAUAACUUGUAAGGUAAAUACUACUGUUAUUAUUUCCUUUUACAGAUAAAAAAACUGAAGCUUAGAGAUAAAAUGUAACUUAUCUGAGGUCAUAUAGCUCUAAGAGUUAGAGUCAGGACUUGAAUCUCAGUCUGUUUUAUUCCAAAGCCUAGAUGUCAUCUGUGCAACUAUAUUUCCAUUCAUGAAGUGUUAGCAGUUAGUUACAAAACAAAUCCUUUUCUAUAGUUCUUUCAACAUCACAUGAGCUCCCUCUGCCUCUGUUUAUUGAGAUAAGCUGCCAUGAAAUAUAACUUUAGAAGGAAAAGGUGCAAAGUAUUAUGCUCAAGUGUUACCCUUCACCCCAAAAUAACUAUUUGAAAAGUUUCAAAAUAAAUGCAGUUCACAGCAGAAAGCUAUUACCAUGUCUACCCCAGUAGCAAACAUUCUUGUGAUUGAAAUAAUGCCAUUGAAAUACAAAAAAAAAAUUAAUGGUACAUUCACAAAAGUUUUGUAAUACCAUAAUAAUGGUAUUGUUCCAUAACAAUAUGAUGUAACUUGUUAAGGGACGAGCCAAAUAUAAUUUAACUUCUCACAAAAUUCGUGCUUUCCUGCUCCAACCCUCAUUUUGUUUUGUAUUUUUUAAAUUUUACAAGGCACAGAUAUUACCUCAAUAACAAACAAUAGCCUGUAGGUAAGUCUUUCAAUCAGAAAGAGAAUCUCAAGUUUUCCUUUAUAAAUAGCAUGUUGAUUAACUUCUACCCUUUGGUGAUGAUAAAAUGAAGCUAAGUUAAUAACUUUCUAUUCUCAUUUCCAGUCAAAGACAGUGACUGUAGAAGAAAUGUUGAUGCUCUAUUUGCAGGGUAUAAGGCCUGAUAUUCUACUUAAAAAAAGCGGAGUUCAUGAAGCAAAGCUGCCAUGUAAACAUGAAAAAAUCUACUCUAGGGAGACAGAAGAAUUUUCUGAGUUUUUAAUCAUCAUAGUCUUAUGAGUCCAUUUCAUAGACCUGGGAGACUGAGGCCAUAGAACCAGCAAGGAGUGGAGCCCCAUGAGCGCUCACACCUGUCUGCUGUAAAUUCACUCUCUUGCCAUCAUUCCGUGCCGGCACAGGCGGAAAGCUGGCAAUGCAGAGAGAGUCCUCAAAAUAGACACAUUCCUGAUAGUGAUCCUCCCCUCAUUACUUCAGUUUCCUAAACACUUUUCCUGUGAUUAAGAAACUGAAUUAAUUAUUGAUGAGGCAGCUGGCCAGUCAUUGGCAAAAUUUCCACUCGCAUGGGGAGCUGGGAAUAUGUAGCACAUUGUUUUUUGUUCUUCCUUUGAGAGAAUGCUUGACAAUUGGUCAGUGUCUGGUAGUCUGAUCUUUAGACAUAAAUAAUCAUUGCCCCAGAGAAGGCUAUUAAUGUAAGCCAUCUUACCUGCAGUCCCCACAAGGUGCACUGCACUGAGAGUGAUAUCAUGGAGAAAGUACAAAUCUCAUUAUAAAGCAUAUUCAUCAGUGAAUCCUGGGAUGGGCCACAGAUCAAAGAAAGACUAUUUAUUCUAGCCAUUGGAAUGGAUUUAAUAAUGUUCAGUAAUAAGAGAAAGUGAUUCCAAUAAAAGGGAACAUGCCUAUACUGUUGGUGGAAAUAUUAAUUGGUAUGUCCAUUAUGGAAAGCAGUAUGGAAGUUCCUCAGUAUAGAAGAUCCAGCAAUCCCACUACUGGGUUAUAUCCAGACAAAACUAUAAUUCAAAAAGAUACAUGCACCCCUAUAUUCAUAAAAGCAGUAUUCACAAUAGCUAAGACAUGGAAACAAUCUAAAUGUCUAUCAAAAAAUGAAUGGAUUGGAAUUCCUGCUAUGGGAAAGUGGGUUAAGAAUCCUGUGGCAUAGGUCAUAGCUGUGGCUUGGAUUCAGUCCCCCGGCUUGGGAACUUCUGUAUGCUGCAGGUGUAGCCAAAAAAA
ensembl:lncRNA